UGCCAUGUUCUACUGAACGUAACUGCAAAGAAUCGAUAAUUCUCACGGAUCAUAACACGUAGCCCUGGUGUUCAACCCGUUAGGCAACAAAUCUAUUUCUCGACAAUCGAAAAUGAAAAUUUCCUGCAUCGUGGCGAUAAUCGCCUCGAUCCUAAUAUCAGGAGAAUGUAAAAAUUCUAGGUCAUUGUUUAGCGGCUCUAACGAAGAAA